AAAACAGAUGCUAAUACCGGAUAACAACAGAUGAUGCCUAUCAACUGUUUAAAAAAGAUGGUUCUGCUAUCACUCUUGGAUGGACCUGCGGUGCAUUAGCUAGUUGGUAGGGUAACGGCUACCAAGGCGAUGAUGCAUAGCCGAGUUGAGAGACUGAUCGGCCACAUUGGGACUGAGACACGGCCCAAACUCCUACGGGAGGCAGCAGUAGGGAAUCUUCCACAAUGGACGCAAGUCUGAUGGAGCAACGCCGCGUGAGUGAAGAAGGGUUUCGGCUCGUAAAGCUCUGUUGUUGGUGAAGAAGGACAGGGGUAGUAACUGACCUUUGUUUGACGGUAAUCAAUUAGAAAGUCACGGGCUAACUACGUGCCAGCAGCCGCGGUAAAU
rnacentral:rRNA from 1 species